rnacentral:rRNA from 1 species
CAGCACCUCAAGUGGUCAGGAUGAUUAUUGGGCCUAAAGCAUCCGUAGCCGGCGCUGUAAGUUUUCGGUUAAAUCUGUACGCUCAACGUACAGGCUGCCGGGAAUACUGCAGCGCUAGGGAGUGGGAGAGGUAGACGGUACUCGGUAGGAAGGGGUAAAAUCCUUUGAUCUAUUGAUGACCACCUGUGGCGAAGGCGGUCUACCACAACACGUCCGACGGUGAGGGAUGAAAGCUGGGGGAGCAAACCGGAUUAGAUACCCGAGUAGUCC